rnacentral:tRNA from 1 species
GUUUCUGUAGUUGAGGACAACGAUGGUUUUUCAGACCGUAGGCCCUGGGUAAUAGCUGGGCAGAAACU